AUAAUCAUGUUUACCGUGGUGUUUGACAAUACAGUUUUUGUGAUAUCUAUGUUUCGUUAUGUCUUAUGUGGAUAUCAUAUUCUUUUUUUGUAUUAUUGAUGUCCAGUCAUUGGAAUAAUGCUUUUUCUAAGUAUUUCAGGUAGGAUAUAGACAAAUGUCACAUUUGCUCUUCCUUGUGUUGCUAAGGACACUGAUGGGUUGGGUUUGCUUACAGCGCGGGACAGAUAAUUCUAUUGGAAUAUUUCUUUGAGAAAGAAGUUAGAUGUCUAUGGCACCAGCAAUAUUUUGGCAAUUCCAAGACUAAUUGGUCAUGAUGACUUCAAGCAUAAAUAGAAGACAGCUGAUUCUGAGGGCCAUCUUGAUCUGAACAGCUCAUUAUUCUAAUUUUAGCUCACCUCUACAGUCAUACAAACUGGCAUGCCGAGGACUGCUCAGGGUUCCUUUCGCUUUCUGUUUUACCAACCAAGGUAAUCAAAUUUGAUCUUCAGCUUGCAAAUUUAUAACCUUAUGGGAGGGAAAGGUUUGCAUGUACAUGAGCUCUGAUUAUCUACAUAUAUACUUGAAUUUCUUUGGAUUUGUUGGACUACUACUAUUCUACAUGAUGUUCUCCAUGAUUCAUUUGAUUUGUUGAUUUUAUUAUUUUCCUAGUGGGCUCUUUAGGUUCAUCUUGUGACACAAAAUACAAUAUUGGUACGUGCAGACUCUGAAAUUUGGUGAUAAAGAAAAGGUACCUCCUAAUUUGCUCUGUCUCUCUUACACUUGUCUUUGUUUAUAUAACAGUAGUGACCUCCUGGCUUGUAGUUGGGUAAUGCAGAGAGAGAUUUGGAAUUGAAGCUAUAUAAACUAAAAUAAUGCAGAGUUGAAGGUUUUGAACGGGAAGCUUGAACAAACAGUUUACUUUUUCUCAUGUCUUCGAUUAGUUUCAUCCUAUCUUUGUCUGUUUCUUGUGUGCAAGCACUCCGUUGUGUCUGACUGUGUGUGUGACCAUGACUCUGCGUGUGUGACUGACUGUUUGUGUGUGUGACUGACUGUAUGUGUAUGUGUUUCUUUGUCUGUUUCUUGUGUGCAAGCGCUCCAUUGUGUCUGUGUGUUGACUGUGACUGUGUGUCAUUUUAUGACUGACUGUGUGUGUGUGUUUGUGUGUUGACUGUGACUGUGACUGUGACUGUGACUGUGUCAUUGUGCAAGCGCUCCAUAAUUACCUAUUGGCACCUCAUAAUGCAUGGAUAUUUCUGUAUAAUAAGGUCAUGGGCAUGUCAUUUUUUGACCUACAUACCUUGUAGUUGGUAGUACCAUUGCCCUUUGGACAUUCUUCAAUGCAUUGCUCUAUAUUUUCCUGCAUCAAGUAUGAUGAUUGUGCUUAGAAUGUGUAGAAUCCAGGGGUGGAUGGAGGUUUUCAUGAUGGCUAAUUUGUUUUGUUAUAUGGUUGUUCUGAUGGUGUGCUUCUGGUGUUUGAACUGAAGCCGUAGAUUUCCUAUCAACUUGGUCUGUGUUUGUAUGGUAAUCCCUCUCGAAUUUAACCCCUUCCAGUUUUGUAACAAUAUUUAUCUCAUGGCUGGUAAUACAUUAUGAAUGCAUUUUAGCUAGUUAUAUAGUAACACCAUACUUCUUUGGACAUUGUUCUGUAUAUGCAAGUGUGGUGAGCUCAUAUAUUGUGUCAGUAUCUACCUUCGCAGCUGAAUUAUUUCCGGAUAGGACAGAGGUGCAGUGUUUACAUCCAUGGCACAAGGUUAUUUAACAGUGUAUGCUGAAUUAUUUCCGGGUAGGACAGAGAUGCAGUGUUUACAUCCAUGGCAGAAGGUUCUUUAACAAUGCAUCAAACGUCCUUGGACUCAAGAGGAAGAUGACAAAAUUACUGACCUUGUAAACAACUAUGGACCACCAGAAUGAUCUCAUUGCAAGGUCAGCUACCAGAACUUCUUGCUGCUGAUCCUGGGAUGUUUCUGAACAUGCUCCCAAACAUGUUCAAUUUAUCCGCCCUAGGACAGCCACUGCCAUGACACAGCAGGCUACUCGGCAUGCUCGGCGUGUUUACCUCGGUGGACUUCCUCCAAUCGCUAAUGAACAGACGGUUGCUCUAUUCUUCAAUCAAGUUAUGACCGCUAUUGGGGGAGACACAUUUGAUCCAGG